AGCUCCAAUAGCGUAUAUUAAAGUUGUUGCAGUUAAAAAGCUCGUAGUUGGAUUUCUGGUAAAAGGAAUGGACGCACCUGCGUGCCGUCCACUUCUUCUGCCAUCCUUCUGUUAACCUUUCCUGGCAUUGACUUGUCGGUUAGGGGCUCAGAUAUUUUACCUUGAGAAAAUUAGAGUGUUUCAGGCAGGCUUAUGCCCGGAUACAUUAGCAUGGAAUAAUAGAACAGGACUUCGCCUCUUCUGUUGGUUUGAGGGGUUGAAGUAAUGAUUAAUAGGGAUAGUUGGGGGCAUUAGUACUUAACUGUCAGAGGUGAAAUUCUCGGAUUUGUUAAAGACUAACUUAUGCGAAAGCAUUUGCCAAGGAUGUUUUCAUUAAUCAAGAAGAAAGUAGA
rnacentral:rRNA from 1 species